UACGGAGGGGGCAAGCGUUGUUCGGAAUUACUGGGCGUAAAGGGCGCGCAGGCGGCUGCUCAAGUCAGGCGUGAAAUCCCCAGGCUCAACCUGGGAACUGCGUCCGAUACUGGAUGGCUUGAAUUCGGGAGAGGGAUGCAGAAUUCCAGGUGUAGCGGUGAAAUGCGUAGAUAUCUGGAGGAAUACCGGUGGCGAAGGCGGCAUCCUGGACCGACAUUGACGCUGAUGAGCGAAAGCUAGGGGAGCAAACGGG
rnacentral:rRNA from 1 species